rnacentral:rRNA from 1 species
UACAGAGGUCUCGAGCGUUAGUCGGAUUCAUUGGGCUUAAAGCGUGCGUAGGCGGAUGUGCAGGCGUCGUGUGAAAGCCCUCGGCUCAACCGGGGAAUUGCACGGCGAACCGCAUGUCUUGAGACAAGUAGGGGCGGUCGGAACGAUAGGUGGAGUGGUGAAAUGCGUCGAUAUCUAUCGGAACGCCAAAGGUGAAGACAGACCGCUGGGCUUGUUCUGACGCUGAGGCACGAAAGCGUGGGGAGCAAACGGG